rnacentral:lncRNA from 1 species
AUGUGCCUUCGAAUCAGGCAAUGCGCCUUCAAAAUAUACAUAGGUUCAACUACGGUUGAACGCCAAUUAAGCUAAGUGCCUUCGACUCAGGCUAUGUGCCUUCAAAAUUUACAUAAGUUCAACUACGGUUGAACGCCAAUUCAGGCUAUGUGCGUUAGACUCAGGCUAUGCGCCUUCAAAAUUUACAUAAGUUCAACUACAUU